rnacentral:rRNA from 1 species
GGGACACGUGAAACCCUGUGGGAAGCAGGAGGGACCACCCUCCAAGGCUAAAUACUACCUAGUGACCGAUAGCGUAUAGUACCGUGAGGGAAAGGUGAAAAGAACCCCGGGAGGGGAGUGAAAUAGAACCUGAAACCCUGCACUUACAAGCUGUGGAAGCACAUUUCUUGUGUGACCGCGUACUUUUUGUAGAACGGGCCAACGAGU